UCUCUCUCAUUACUCCUCUCUUCUCUCUUUUUAUCCUCUUUUUCUCUCUUUCUCUCCCCUUUUUCCCUCCCCCUCUCUCUCCCUCUCUGUUACUCCUCUUUCCUCCUCCUCCUCCUCCUCCUCCUCCUCCUCUUUCUUCUCUCUCUUCCUUAUCAGUACUAUGCUCCCUCCCUCCCUCCCUCUCUCCCUCCCUCUCUCUUCUCUCUUUGUCUCACUAUCCCUCCUCCUCCUCCUCCUCCUCCUCCUCCUCCUCCUCCUUUCUUUCCGUACCCAAGCCUUCUCUCUUUCUACUCUCUCUCUCUCUCUCUCUGGUAAUUCCUCUCCCAUCUCUUUCCUCUUCCUUCCUUCCUUCCUUCCUCUCGUUUUUUACCUCCUCUCCUUCUUUAUCUCCUCCUUCCCUAUUUCCUCCAUUCUCCAUCUCUCCCUCCCUCCCUCCUCCAUUCCUUCUCCUCCUCCUCCUCCUCUAUGUUUCUUUUUCCUCCAGUUCCUUUCUUCCUCUCCUCUUCCUCCUCCUCCUCUCUUCCUCUUCCUUCCCUUCUGUUUCCCUGUUCUUCUUUUUGUUCUUUGUUUCCUCCUUCUUCUUCUUUCCUCCUCUUCCCUUCUCUUCUCUCCUCUUCUCGUUUCCUUCUCCUCGUUUCUCUUAUUUUUCUUCUGUUUCUUCAUUCUACUGAUCCUCCUCCUCCUCCUCCUCUUCCCUUCCUUCCUUCCUUCCUUCCUUUCUUCUUCUUCUUAUAUUAAUUUCUUCUAUGUCUUUAUUUUCAUCUCCCUUCUCUUCCUCCUUCUCCUCUUCCUUCCUUCCUCCUCCUCUUCCUCUUCCUUCCUUCCUUCCUUCCCUUCUUCUUCCUCUUAUAUUAAUUUCUUCUGCUUCUUCAUUCUUCAUCUCCCUUCCUCCUCUUCCUCCUCCUCUUCCUCUUCCUUCCCUUCUCCUUUCCCGUAAAUCAGUUCCUCCUCCUCCUCCUCCUCCUCUUCCUUCCCUUCUUCUUUCCCGUAUAUCAGCUCCUCCUCCUCCUCCUCCUCCUCCUCCCCUCCUAAUAUAUUCUACAUGAUAUAGUUUUUAUACAUACCUUGUGUCAAAAUGCUUGAUUAGAAAGCCAUAGUUGGGAGACAAGACAGGUGAGACAACUUACAGGUGUGAAAAAAAUGAAAAACAAACAAACAUAGAAGCCAAAAAAAAAAACGAAGCUAAAACAAAAAAAUAAAAACAAAUAGACAACAACAAAAAAAAACUCGCUACUAUAAAUAAAAAAAAAACAAGAAUAUAACACGUAACGUUCGUAGUUGUAUAAUAAAAAAAAAAAAUCUGUAUAUAAAAAAAUGAAAAAAAUAUCAAAAAAAUAUAAAAUAAUGAGAAAAUUAAAAAAAAAAAGAUAGAGAGAGGGAAAAAAAGUAUCUAUAAUUUUGUAAUAGGGUAAUAGGUGUCACACAAACUAGUACUGUGAUAGGUAGGAUAAGGUAGAGAGAGAGAGAGAGAGAGAGAGAGAGAGAGAGAGAGAGAGAGAGAGAGAGAGAGAGAGAGACCUAAUUAUAUAGUUGUAAUGGGGCGCGAUUAUCUUUCCUAUUUUGUUACCUGAGACUCGUUAAUUAUUGCUAUUAUUAUUAUUAUUUUUAUUAUUAUUAUUAUAGCUGAUGCUGACGAUGAUUCUGGGCCCCCGUUGUUAUUGCGUGAGAGAGAGAGAGAGGGAGAAAGAAAGAGAGAGGGAGAUAGAUUAUUUUUGUGUAAUUUUUAUAUACCGUAGAAGACUGUGCCAGAGAGAGAGAGAGAGAGAGAGAGAGAGAGAGAGAGAGAGAGAGAGAGAGGUGCAUAAGCUAGCUCUACGCAAAGGUAUAUUCACACAAAACUUCGAUUCCUAUUCUGAAAACACAAUAAUUCUUUAACACACACACAAAAAACUAAGAUUAUCGUACCCUGAAAAAAAAUACGAUACACGGAUAGGGAAAGAGAGCGAGAGAGAGAGAAAUGGAACGAGGUUUAGAGUUUAUUUUUUACAUAUAUAAGAAUAGACAUAAGCGAAUGAUCUCUUAAGAAACACCUAAUUUAUACACGUCGCUAAAUCGGUGCCAAUUUCGUUAUCUAAGUCUUCUAUACGUAACUAAGCGAUGAAAUAAACAAGAAAGCAAACAACAGCGGUAAUUUAAACAUAUCGUAAGAGGAAAAGAAUGAAAUAAACAACAACGGUAAACUAUAAUAUAUCGAAAGAGAAGGAAAAAUAAUAGUUCACGUUUCAAAAUAGGAAAAGAAAAACGAGAUGAGAGAAUUAACAGCAAACAUAUCGAAAGAGAAGGAAAAAUAAUAGUUCACGGUUAAAGACAGCUAAGAAAAACGAAAUGAGAGAAUUAACAGCAAACAUAUCGAAAGAGAAGGAAAAAUAAUAGUUCACGUUUCAAAAUAGGAAAAGAAAGACGAGAUAAGAGAAUUAACAGCAAACAUAUCGAAAGAGAAGGAAAAAUAAUAGUUCACGUUUCAAAAUAGGAAAAGAAAAACGAGAUGAGAGAAUUAACAGCAAACAUAUCGAAAGAGAAGGAAAAAUAAUAGUUCACGUUUCAAAAUAGGAAAAGAAAAACGAGAUGAGAGAAUUAACAGCAAACAUAUCGAAAGAGAAGGAAAAAUAAUAGUUCACGUUUCAAAAUAGGAAAAGAAAAACGAGAUGAGAGAAUUAACAGCAAA